UACGUAGGGUGCAAGCGUUAAUCGGAAUUACUGGGCGUAAAGCGUGCGCAGGCGGCUUUGCAAGACAGAUGUGAAAUCCCCGGGCUCAACCUGGGAACUGCAUUUGUGACUGCAUGGCUAGAGUACGGUAGAGGGGGAUGGAAUUCCGCGUGUAGCAGUGAAAUGCGUAGAUAUGUGGAAGAACACCGGUGGCGAAGGCGGCCAUCUGGACCGGCACUGACGCUGAGGCGCGAAAGCGUGGGGAGCAAACAGG
rnacentral:rRNA from 1 species